AUGCCUUGCAUCAAAUUUUAUAUUCCAUUCUGUCAUGGAGUCUGCUGAAAACAGAAAUGGUUAAACAUAACUUCAUGCUAUCUUUGCACACAUCUGCAGGUGGGCGGCGACUGUCCAACCGGUUGAACCGGAUUUCAGCAGAAAGGCCUCACCCUGUUCUGAGAAAUGCCUACGUGGGGGAACCUGGCCAACAUUCAGGGCUGCCGCUUGCAAAGAGAUAAGGAGCUCUUGAGUUUCACGGAAAAGCAACCGGCGACGUCCUGCACUCAGUAAGAUCUUCUGAUUCGGAAACCCAGAGCAACACUCACAAAACUCUGAAGAAACACAGAACAGCACACAACAGUAAACAGACGACAUUUUGGGCCGAGAACUUUCAUCAGGAAUUCACCUUAUCCCUAACCCACAACUCCUAAACCAGCCAAAUAUUCCUCAGCUCAUUGUUUGAAAUGAAGGGCGAAGGCCAUUACUUGGAAAUAUUUCCACAAGGAAAUCGAACAUUGUUAAUAUUUUUUCGGCUUUUCAUUUCCAACCAGACUAUAGCCUGCGGGUUGUAUCAGUGAUCAAGAAUUCAUUAGCUCAGUGAUAAACUUCUUCUUGCCAUGCUGGUGUUUGUAUCCCUGAGGUUGUGUUCACAUGCAGGAAUUUUUCCACACUUUAUAUCAAGAUUAGGAACUGUUCUAGAAUCAGAAAUAAACGUUUCAUGCGAGGGCUGUACAGCCCUAUCCUGCACGAUUUUCAAAAAUACGUUACUUCAGGUCUGGAUGAUUGAUAAACACCGGGGUGGAGAGCUAUAAGACCCAACGACAGCGCAGCAGAAAGAGCCUGUUUGGUCCAUUGAGUCUGCUCCGCCAGUAUAUCAUGGCUGAUUCAACAUUUUAUUUGAGGCCCAAACUCCUCCCUACUGCUCGCAUCCCGUCAGUAAAUUAGGAUUAGUGGGCGGCGACUGUCCAACCGGUUGAACCUGAUUUCAGCAGAAAGGCCUCACCCUGUCCUGAGAAAUGCGUACG